rnacentral:tRNA from 1 species
GCGGGAGUAGCUCAGUUGGUAGAGCAUCAGCCUUCCAAGCUGAGGGUCGCGGAUUCGAGCUCCGUCUCCCGCUCUA